GAUGAACGCUAGCUACAGGCUUAACACAUGCAAGUCGAGGGGUAGCAGGGCCUAGCAAUAGGUUGCUGACGACCGGCGCACGGGUGAGUAACACGUAUCCAACCUGCCCUAUACUCGGGGAUAGCCUUUCGAAAGAAAGAUUAAUACCCGAUAGUAUAAUUAGAUCGCCUGAUUUGAUUAUUAAAGAAUUUCGGUAUAGGAUGGGGAUGCGUUCCAUUAGAUUGUUGGUGGGGUAACGGCCUACCAAGUCUUCGAUGGAUAGGGGUUCUGAGAGGAAGGUCCCCCACACUGGUACUGAGACACGGUCCAGACUCUGAAAUACG
rnacentral:rRNA from 1 species